AUUGAACGCUGGCGGCAGGCUUAACACAUGCAAGUCGAGCUAGCGGCGGACGGGUGAGUAAUGUCUGGGAAACUGCCUGCUGGAGGGGGAUAACUACUGGAAACGGUAGCUAAUAUCGCAUACCAUCAGAUCUGCCCAGAGGGGAUUAGCUAGUAGGUGGGGUAAUGGCUCAACUAGGCGACGAUCCCUAGCUGGUCUGAGAGGAGGACCAGCCACACUGGAACGGAGACACGGUCCAGACUCCUACGGGAGGCAGCAGUGGGGAAUAUUCGACAAUGGGCGAAAGCCUGAUGCAGCCAUGCCGCGUGUGUGAAGAAGGCCUUCGGGUUGUAAAGCACUUUCAGCGAGGAGGCGUUACUCGCAGAAGAAGCACCGGCUAACUACGUGACAGCAGCCGCGGUAAUAC
rnacentral:rRNA from 1 species